rnacentral:rRNA from 1 species
GACGAACGCUGGCGGUGUGCUUAACACAUGCAAGUCGAACGGUAAGGCCCUUUCGGGGGUACACGAGUGGCGAACGGGUGAGUAACACGUGAGUAACCUGCCCUCAUCUCUGGGAUAACAGUCGGAAACGGUUGCUAAUACUGGAUAUGAGCUUGCAAGGCAUCUUGUGGGUUGGAAAGAUUUUUUUGGUUGGGGAUGGACUCGCGGCCUAUCAGCUUGUUGGUGAGGUAGUGGCUCACCAAGGCUUCGACGGGUAGCCGGCCUAAGAGGGCGACCGGCCACAUUGGGACUGAGAUACGGCCCAAACUCCUACGGGAGGCAGCAGUGGGGAAUAUUGCACAAUGGACGGAAGUCUGAUGCAGCAACGCCGCGUGCGGGAUGACGGCCUUCGGGUUGUAAACCGCUUUCAAUUGUGACGAAGCUUUUUGUGACGGUAGCAGUAGAAGAAGCACCGGCUAACUACGUG